UGGGGAAUAUUGGACAAUGGGGGAAACCCUGAUCCAGCAAUGCCGCGUGAGUGAAGAAGGCCUUAGGGUUGUAAAGCUCUUUCGCCCGCGAAGAUAAUGACGGUAGAGGGAGAAGAAGCCCCGGCUAACUCCGUGCCAGCAGCCGCGGUAAUACGGAGGGGGCUAGCGUUGUUCGGAAUUACUGGGCGUAAAGCGUACGUAGGCGGAUGCGCAAGUUGGGGGUGAAAUCCCGGGGCUUAACCUCGGAAUUGCCCUCAAAACUGCACGUCUUGAGACCGAGAGAGGUAAGGGGAAUUCCUAGUGUAGAGGUGAAAUUCGUAGAUAUUAGGAAGAACACCAGUGGCGAAGGCGCCUUACUGGCUCGGUACUGACGCUGAGGUACGAAAGUGUGGGGAGCAAACA
rnacentral:rRNA from 1 species